rnacentral:Y_RNA from 1 species
GGCUCUUUUAGGAGUAAUUUUGUGGUGUUUACAACUAAUUGAUCACAACCAGUUACGGAUUCCUUUGUUCCUUCUCCACUCCCACUGCUUCAUUUGACCAGCCUUUA